GGAUGUGAGGGCAAUCUGAGUGUGACAUCUGUCAUCCCAUUGAUCACCAGGGUUGAUUCAGUUGAUCUGGCUGGCUAGGUGGGUGUCCUCUUCCUCCCUUACUGCUCCAUGUGAGUCCCUCCUGAAGCUGUGUGCUCAGUCGAAGAGGAUGGCCUUCCCCGAAUAGAGAUGACUGGUCUUGGUUGAGGGUAUAGUAGUAGCUGCACUCCCCUGCUGGAACCUCCAAACAGGCUCUGUAGAAUUAGAGAAGAUUUCCAUAAAAUUAAAAUCAGCAAAUCAAGAGAGAACAUU
ensembl:misc_RNA 7SK 7SK RNA